rnacentral:lncRNA from 1 species
CAAAAUUGUAAUUUGUGGCUUCUUCUUCCUCAGGAUAGCUCCUGCCCGAAGAUCCAGCAGCCCGCUCCUCGUCGCCAGCAUGGAUUGCCGUCGACGGUGAGGUCGACCACCAGAUCGCGCAACAGUUGCGCAACUCCGAUCAUCCAUUCGCAGUCGAGCUCGAAACGGCACCGGCGGCUCGCGAUUCGCAGAAAUCACGAGGAGCCGAGACACAUCUCAGCUUCGAAGCCCCGGCGGCCCACCGGACGAAUCCUUGGCCUCUCAAGCCGCCAGCCCGAGAGGCUGGAGACGGCGCAACGCUUGCGCUCCCCGAAGACGUCGAGGCUGCUGGGUUCAUCC